CUUUCCCGCUCUCUUUUCUCAUCUCCGUCUCAGGCUCAGACGAGAAUCCCACGCUGAGGCGAAGUAUUGCCUUGGACAGCGGGCGCACACCUCCGCCCACCGUUCUCUCCCAUACGAUGCCCUCUGCUUCAACCCUGUCCUCUUCUACAAACCGUCCGCGAGCCACUGUUGCCCUCUGACAAGAGAAGGCGGGCAUGCUUGCCCUGAUUUGCCUUCUCACGCGCCGCCAGCGUUUUGUGCUCGUCUCUUUGCCCCGUCUGCUGUGCCUGGGCUCCGUUGUUGCCACACGGGACAGAGGUAGCGAGGCGCACCGAGCAGAAACAUCCCUACGGCGCGUAGGUACCACUUUGCGUCGCGGGGCUCGGUGUAAGCGGCGCGGUCGCGCACGCCGUGUGUGUGACUGCCCACCUGUGCGUAUGCUGCGGGUGGCGGCGCCCAUUUCGCUUCUGCCCACUUUCCCUGCCUCGUUUCGUCCUGUGCUCUCUUACGCCGGCAAAGGAGGGGCAG
rnacentral:misc_RNA from 1 species